UUGGAGGGCAAGUCUGGUGCCAGCAGCCGCGGUAAUUCCAGCUCCAAUAGCGUAUAUUAAAGUUGUUGCAGUUAAAAAGCUCGUAGUUGAACUUCGGGGUUUACCCAUUGGUCAGGCUUAAUUGUCUGUACUGGUGAGAUAAAUCUCUACCUUCUGAGGAACUUUCAUGCCAUUUAGUUGGUGUGAUAGGAAAUCAGGACUGUUACUUUGAAAAAAUUAGAGUGUUUAAAGCAGGCUAACGUUUGAAUACAUUAGCAUGGAAUAAUGAAAUAGGACGGAUUGGUUCUAUUUCGUUGGUUUCUAGGAUCACCGUAAUGAUUAAUAGGGAUAGUUGGGGGCAUUAGUAUUCAAUUGUCAGAGGUGAAAUUCUUGGAUUUAUUGAAGACUAACUAUUGCGAAAGCAUUUGCCAAGGAUGUUUUCAUAGAUCAAGAACGAAAGUUAGGGGACCGAAGACGAUCAGAUACCGUCGUAGUCUUAACCAUAAACUAUGCCGACUAGGGAUCGGACGAAGUUAAUUUUAUAAUGACGCGUUCGGCGCCUUACGGGAAAC
rnacentral:rRNA from 1 species